GAUAAACGCUGGCGGCGUGCAUGAGACAUGCAAGUCGAACGAACGAGCUUGCUCGUUAGUGGCGAACGGCUGAGUAACGCGUAGGUGACCUGCCCUGAAGUGGGGGAUAACGGCCCGAAAGGGUUGCUAAUACCGCAUGUGGCGACGUGUUCAUUCACGUCAUCAAAGCCGCGAGGCGCUUCAGGAGGGGCCUGCGUCCGAUUAGCUCGUUGGUGGGGUAACGGCUCACCAAGGCGACGAUCGGUAGGUGGUCUGAGAGGACGAUCACCCAGACUGGGACUGAGACACGGCCCAGACUCCUACGGGAGGCAGCAGUGGGGAAUAUUGGACAAUGGGCGAAAGCCUGAUCCAGCAAUGCCGCGUGAGUGAUGAAGGCCUUAGGGUUGUAAAGCUCUUUUACCCGGGAUGAUAAUGACAGUACCGGGAGAAUAAGCCCCGGCUAACUCCGUGCCAGCAGCCGCCGUAAAAC
rnacentral:rRNA from 1 species